rnacentral:lncRNA from 1 species
AAGACGGGUUGAAGAUCCGAGAGGCUGAGUCACUUCCACAAAGUAACACAGCUGAUUUUAAAUGCCUGCAUUCAGCAUCCCUGCAGCAGGCUCCAGGUGGAAUUCUAAUGGGACCAGCCUCCAGUCCCUGGACCUUAGCCGUGGAAGGAGAGAAGAGGACAUCUGCACCUCCUCUCAGAGAAAGCCUGAUGCCUACUAAAGGACUUGGGUGGUGGACGCAGUGACCCUCAGUCUGGAGCUUGUUCACUGAACAUUGGAGACUAUCAUUUGCGCAGAUGGUCUUGGGCCUCUAUGAGCAGCAGGCUGCACCCCACAGUGACCUCCUCAUUCUACUCUGAGGCAUCUUCAUGAAAGCAGAUGUCCAUUGAAAAGCACCCAAGUGCAGUCUCAGCUGAUGAACUUCAGAGGCGAUUGAGACAAAGGCUCUCGGUCCCCUCUGCCCUUGGAUGGUGCCUCUGGUAUGCACUUGGCCUCUGUGUCUUUAUUUAGACUGGUCACUUCACAACCCAUCAUGUCACCCCACCCCUAACCGUGCCCACUCUGGGUCCUCCCCUCAACUGCCUGACUUCCCACUUUGAGCUCAGCAAAGGCAAUAGAUGUUUUGUCUGCUUCGAUACCCUAAAUGCAUGGCGUGGAAGCUGGCACACAGUGGGCCCUUGAAAUUUGGGAGUGAAUAUGUAUAUAUAUUAUAUUCCAACCUCAACUUUCCUCACUGCUCCUCAUAGUAGGAAUGGAUUGUAAAACUUCCCAGAAUGUUCAAGAGGAGAAAGGAGAGAAAACAGCCUGGAAUUUGAGCUAAGGGGCCCACAGCCCAGCCACCAAGCCAUCUGUAAAAUGGGGUGGGAAUAUGACAUGAGCCACAGGGGUGCUAUGAGGGUUAAUGAGGUCACCGUGCGAUGUACCAUGCCAA